ensembl:lncRNA ANKRD36BP2 ankyrin repeat domain 36B pseudogene 2
GGGCUGAGAGUCUGUGCGAAGGUAGGUGGACAGACUGCAUUGCUUGUUGUUGCGCUUCGGAGGCGGCGAUCCCCGAAGGCGAGCUGAAAUACGGCUGGAGCGUUCCCAGGCUACAGUUUGUAGCCGACGAUUGUGGAAGACUAGGAGCCGGAGAGGUGGCCCACCCUCAGGGAGCGCUUGUGCUCGGAGGGCUUCUCAUUUCCCCAAUACCACAUUAAAUCGUCUCAUCUGAGGAGGAUCCACAGAGCUGUCUUCUAUGGUAAUCUGGAGAAACUGGAGUACCUUCUGCUCACGUAUCAUGACACCAAUGAGAGAGACAAGGAGGAAAGCAUCCGGUGAAAGACAGAGAUCACAUUUCAACUAGAUUCUUAGGAAGUAUGGAUUCACUAACUUCAGCGAAGCUUACCCUGAAAGAAGCAGAUCCCAGUUCAAAAGUAGCCAUAAGAAGGAAGGAUUCACCACCUCCAGGAAAAGUGUCUUCUCAGAAACAACCAGCUGAGAAGGCUGCAAGUGACGAGAAAGAUUCUGUUUCGAAUAUAGCCACAGAAAUAAAGGAGGGACCAAUAUCUGGGACAGUGUCUUCUCAGAAACAACCAGCUGAGAAGGCUGCAAGUGACGAGAAAGAUUCUGUUUCAAAUAUAGCCACAGAAAUAAAGGAUGGACAACAAUCUGGGAGACAUAAUUUUGCAAAGCAGAUUUAAUGUCAUGUUCAGCCAAGAUAGACAAGAACUUCUCUUCCCCGAAUAAAUCAGCGGGGGACUCUUUGAAGCUGCACAUUCUGAUUCAGCAGGCCUGAGAUUCUACAUUUGUAUGUCUUCUCAGAAACAAUCGGCCUGGAAGGUUAUAUUUAAAAAGAAAGUUUCUCUUUUGAAUAUUGCCACAAGAAUAAUGGGUGGUCAGAAAUCUGGAACAGAGUAUCCUGAGAAUCUGCCCACCAUGAAGGCUACAGUUGAAAAUAAAGAUUCUGUUCUGAAUACAGCCACCAAAAUGAAGGAUGUACAAACAUCCACACCAGAAGAACAAGACUUAGAAAUGGCAUCAGAGGGAGAGCAAAAGAGGCUUGAAGAAUAUGAAAAUAACCAGCCACAGCAACUGGAUGAUGCUCGCAACAAAGCUGACAAUCAAGAAAAGGCAAUACUUAAUAUUCAAGCCAGAUGUGAUGCUAGAGUACAAAACCUUCAAGCUGAGUGCAGAAAGCGCCGUCUUUUACUAGAAGACAGUAAAAGGUUGGUAAAUGAAUUGAAUCAUUUGAAAGAAAAAGAACGCCAAUAUGAAAAAAAGCAAGCAGAAAGAGAAGUAAGUAUCAAGAAAAAUAAGUAUUUUUCAAACUUCCUGAAGUAAAAUUUAAAGUAAUAUUUGGUUACAGCUGAAUGUUGGAUCUAGUUGAAUAUAAAAAAGAUACAUAUGAUAAAUAUAUCUGCUAUAUCAGCUUAGAAACAUUCCUUUUUUCCAGCAAGUCAAAGUUAGAACUGAGAGAUGCUUUCCUCUGAUUAAAGUCAAUGUGUCACUUAUAAAAUUUUAAGUUAUAAAAUGUUAAUAUAGACUAAUAUUAAUAAUGUAGUCUUAUACUGCUGAAAUAAUAAUUUUAAUGUAUUUAUGUUGCAACAUUUUAAGACCAUGAUAAAUCAGAUAUAUGGAAAUGCUCAUACCUAAAAUGGUAUUUUGAAAUUGAUUCAAUUAAAUGGGGUACUUUGACAGUUAAUUUCAGAUUUCCUAGAUGAACUGAAGUGUAUUCCCUAUUUCAUAAUUACUUUUCUUCAGUAGCUUGAAAUAUGUCUUUGUUGGUAAAAUUUUGUUUUUCUUCAUGUCAAUUUGACUUAAAUCUGAAACUAUUUCAAUCUCAAAUUAUGUAGAGAUAUGAUCAUUCUAUUCUUUAAAGGCGUCUAAUUUUACUUAUAUUAUAAUAUGGGGAAAAUGCAGUAAAUUUUAGCCAAAUCAUGUUUGAUUUUAUCUUCCCACUGGCAUUUAUAAUUUACUUUCAGUUUUUAAACAAAGAAUUUGCUCAUAAUUUUUAUUUCAAGGCUCAAUUACUAUCAUUUGGAUAUAACUUUGUCCAGGACAAAGAGAGGCAUAGCUAUCUGUGAUUUAUUAGUUUGACACUGGAUCCCCGUUUUCAGACUAAGGAGGAUUUCAGACUAAUGAGGAGUGGCAGGAUUCACGCAGAGUAGGAAUGGAGUGAGUCAGGGAGGAGAGAUACAGCAGCUGAGUCAGGGCAGGAGGUGGAGGGCAGGUUACUUAGAGCAUCUAAGGCCACUGGAGUUUUACUUUUCUUCUGAGAUAGACAUCUAUUGGAAGGAUUUAAGCAGAUGAUUUAAUGUGAGGAACUCUGAGGUUGAUUUGAGUUUGUAAUAAAAAAAAGAGGGAAAUCAUUCCACAAUGUAGAAUUUACCACCAUCAGUCUCACCCACAUACUCAUUUCUUUUUGAGACUUCAGAAGGUUUUUAAGCAUUGCAGAUUCAUCAGGGGAGGAAUGACUAGUGGGCUGAAUAUGCUAUGUGAAUAACAAUACCAGUUUGGCAGGAAGAUAACACCUUCUGUAUCCUUAACUGGAUUCAGUAAUGAACAGGGACGUGUACACAUGAGGAAAAGAAGGUGAAUCGGUCUGUGUGGUGGUAUUUUUCAAAGUGUAUGCUUUAGAGUUAAAUAUUAUUAAUGGUUUAAUAAUAAGGUGAUUUGUAAAAUCAGUAACAAAAAUAACAUCAGGUAGCUGUGAGACAGCUUUAACAAAAAUGAGAUGAUGUCUUAAACAAACAAUCAGCAACAAAAGCUUUGCUGGAUGCUUCAUCGCGUCACUGCAUCUAUUUAGAAAAUGAGAUGCAGGAUUCAAGGAAGAAAUUAGACCAGAUGAGAAGUCAAGUAUGUAUGCAACUUUGCACGCCAACAACUGUUAAUCUGUAGCUGGUUAACUAAUAUAAAGUGUUUUGGGGUACUAAUUUUAGUGGAUGGCUUUCUUUUGUAUUUUUAUUAUAAUUAAUUUUAUUAAAAUUUUAUAGUGGAUGGCUUUCUUUUGUAUUUUCCUUAUUAUUAAUUUUAUUACAAUUUUAUUAUAAUGCCACCUAUACCUUAAUCUCUGGCUUUCAUUCUGCCGUUUUUUAUACAUAUGUUUUUUUCUUAAAUAUUUAACCUUAGGAAAGUUGAGAAUUAUGCAUCAUUUCUCACAUAAGUUGAGAGAGUUUUUUUUCCUGUUAAACAGUCUAUUUUUAAUGAUUUCUCUAUUGGCAUGGUGAGGCAAGCCAGAUUAAUUCAGAGGAUAAUGUCUAAUGGAAUGUUUCAGAAAAUUAUCUUAUUUUUAGUCUCUACUUUUCUGAAUGUAUAAAGAACGUGUGUAUACUUAUUUCAUAGAUUUCAGGUUAACUUGUUCAGAAAGGCCAUUUUACUGAAUAAAUUUUUAUUUCGAUGAAAAUCCUUACUCUCUUUGUAUUGGGCUCAGAGAGCACACUCUGUCUCUAUAUGAAUAUGGACAGUUAGCAUUUGCCAACAUGUAUCUAUUUUCUCUUAUUUAUAGAAAAAGCUAAACUAAAAUGGGGGUUAUAGAAGGUCAGCAAAGGAUGGGUUUGAGAUGUUUGGGUUGGUUGAGUGGGCAUUUAGACAACAAGCCUUCUCCUUUGGCGUGUUUAAUGGACAUCUUUGCAGUUUAAGAUGAUGCUUUUAAAUUACUUCUCUCCUAAUGAUGACUUGAGUCCUGCUAUUCAAUGGGAGAGUCAAUAAGAUCCUGUAGGAUCUUAUUUGGAACUGACUUUGUCGAUUUUAAUUUUGUUCCUGCUUGUUUUUAAAUUUUCUUGUUGUUUCCCUAGAAAGGAAAGAUGACGCUUGGUUUUAAAUAUUUAAAAAUGUGCAAGUUGCUUUGCUAUAAUAAAACUAAAUGCAUACAUACAAAAAAUAACAUUAUAGUUGAUGUGGUAGUGUUUGGAAUUCAAAAUAUAAAUGCUUAGCAUGAGGUAAUCCUUUAUCUUUCCACAUUUUACCAGUUUGUAAGUUUGAGUAUGUAACUGAUAAAAUGUAAUUCAAAAGCAAGAAGAAUGUUGUGUUUCAGUCCUAGAGCAGGGGUCAGUGAACUUUCUGUAAAGGGCCAGAUAGUAUUAUUUAAGGCUUUGUGAACCAUAAGAUCCUUGUUGCAAUAACUCAGCCCUGUAGUUAUAGCACAAAAGUAGCCAUUAACGAUAUGCAGAUUGAAGGGGUGUAGCAGUGUCCCACUAAAAUUAAUUACAAAAAACAGGUAAUGGGAUGAUUUCUCCUACAUUAUGACCUUUUUUAAAUAAAAAAGAUUGUGAUAGUCUAAAAUAUUUUAUAUAUAUUUUGUUGAUUCAUUCAUCUACUGAUGGACAUUUAGGUCAUUUCUAAAUGUAAUUUUUUUUAAUUCUUUGUUUUAGCUUCAAGAAACACAGGAUCAACUUACAGCUACUAUAAGAUGUACUAAGGGGAUGGAAGGCGACGCACAAAAGUAAAAUUUGAAGCAGCGCACAAAAUAACUUGAGUAUUUAUAAAGCAAAAGAGCACUGUAGUAUGAAAAUUGUAUCAGUUAUGAUAAUAAGUAUGUCUUUGUGAAGCCAAAAAAGUUUCAUUUGUAAGCUGUAUUGAAAUACAUCAUUUUUCUACAUUAUUCCUAAAUUUUGCAUAUUAUCGACAAAACACAGUUAGAAAAAUGACACAGUAGCCCAAUCAUCUACUUUUGUGAUCGCUAAGAAUUUGUGUAAUUAUACCUUCAGAAGUUUGUUUAGAAUUUACAUGAUAAAAAAAAUUAUGUGUGAGAGUAAUUAUUUUAAAAUGCACAUUUUAGGCUUGAAGUAGAAAAUGCCAUGAUGAGAAAAACUAUUAAAAAACAGGAUGACCAAAUUGAGCGACUUGAGAAAAUCCUGCAGCGUUCAAGUUUGAUGCCACAGGUGUUCAAGAGCUAGAUGAAGAUAUCAACCUAUGAAUUGCCUCUACCAAAAAGCCUACAAUAUUGACACAAACCUGGGCUAGUAUCCCUUCUAUGUCUUCUAAUAAGUGCUGUCUUAUGCCUGUCACUGUAUGUAUGACUCUGUAUGGGAAUUGCCUGUUUGUUUUUUCAGAUUAUAGCAAACAGUUGUUGAGGGGUGGACCAUAUCAUCUUUAUCUUGUAAUUCCAGUGCUUGUCCUAGUACCUUAGCACAUGGUUGCUGAAUACAUGAAUGAAGAGUGAGAAACCAGAAGCUCUGAUAUUUAACUGCCGUGAUAAUGAAUUCAAUGUGCAACUAUGGGCAAAUUGUAUUUAAUAGUAAUUGCAUAUUGUACAUAUUUUUCAUUCUUAUUAACACUGAUAAACUUUUCAACUUAUACUGACUUUAAUAAAAUUGUAUUACUAGGCUAUUAACAUGAUAUUUUGUUUCCCAUUAAAUGUGACAUGCAAAGACGUUUAUUAAAUGAAAAUAUUUUUGUA